UACGGAGGAUGCGAGCGUUAUCCGGAUUUAUUGGGUUUAAAGGGUGCGUAGGCGGACUGUCAAGUCAGCGGUAAAAUUGAGAGGCUCAACCUCUUCACGCCGUUGAAACUGGUGGUCUUGAGUGGAUGAGAAGUACGCGGAAUGCGUGGUGUAGCGGUGAAAUGCAUAGAUAUCACGCAGAACUCCGAUUGCGAAGGCAGCGUACCGGCAUCCAACUGACGCUGAGGCACGAAAGCGUGGGGAUCAAACAGG
rnacentral:rRNA from 1 species